AACGAACGCUGGCGGCAUGCCUAACACAUGCAAGUCGAACGAGACCUUCGGGUCUAGUGGCGCACGGGUGCGUAACGCGUGGGAACCUGCCCUUAGGUUCGGAAUAACUCCCCGAAAGGGGUGCUAAUACCGGAUAAUGUCUUCGGACCAAAGAUUUAUCGCCUUUGGAUGGGCCCGCGUUGGAUUAGCUAGUUGGUAGGGUAAAAGCCUACCAAGGCGACGAUCCAUAGCUGGUCUGAGAGGAUGAUCAGCCACACUGGGACUGAGACACGGCCCAGACUCCUACGGGAAGCAGCAGUGGGGAAUAUUGGACAAUGGGCGAAAGCCUGAUCCAGCAAUGCCGCGUGAGUGAUGAAGGCCUUAGGGUUGUAAAGCUCGUUUAACCGGGAUGAUAAUGACAGUACCGGGAGAAUAAGCUCCGGCUAACUCCGUG
rnacentral:rRNA from 1 species